rnacentral:RNase_P_RNA from 1 species
UCAGUCGGCCGGACGGCCGCUCUCGCUACGGUCGAAAGGCUGCGGGGGAGGAAAGUCCGGGCUCCAUCGACAUGCGGUGCCGGAUAACGUCCGGCGGGGGUAACCCUAGGGAAAGUGCCACAGAGAACGAACCGCUCCCCCACCCGAAAGGGAGGGGGCAGUAAGGGUGAAAAGGUGCGGUAAGAGCGCACCGCGUCUCCGGCAACGGAAACGGCAUGGCAAACCCCACCGGGAGCAAAACCGAAUAGGGACGGCAGUGCGGGCUGUUCGCGAAAGCGAUAACGCCGCAGGGCGAUGUCUGGCUCGCCGUCCGGGUAGGUUGCUCGAGGCCAUGUGCGAACAUGGUUCCAGAGGAAUGGCCGUCACGUAUCAUUCGAAAGAAUGGUGCCCUACAGAACCCGGCUUACAGGCUGGCUGAUAUC